CUGGCUGUAAACGAUGAGAACUAGGUGUUCGAGGUAUCCACUCCUCGAGUGCCGCAGCUAACGCAUUAAGUUCUCCACCUGGGGACUACGGCCGCAAGGUUGAAACUCAAAGAAAUUGACGGGGGCCCGCACAAGCGGUGGAGCAUGUGGUUCAAUUCGACGCAACGCGAAGAACCUUACCUGGGUUUGACAUCCGCUGACCGCCUAUGAAAGUAGGUUUUCCCGCAAGGGACAGCGAGACAGGUGC
rnacentral:rRNA from 1 species